GAUGAACGCUGGCGGCGUGCCUAAUACAUGCAAGUCGAGCGAACGGACGAGAAGCUUGCUUCUCUGAUGUUAGCGGCGGACGGGUGAGUAACACGUGGAUAACCUACCUAUAAGACUGGGAUAACUUCGGGAAACCGGAGCUAAUACCGGAUAAUAUUUUGUACCGCAUGGUUCAAAAGUGAAAGACGGUCUUGCUGUCACUUAUAGAUGGAUCCGCGCUGCAUUAGCUAGUUGGUAAGGUAACGGCUUACCAAGGCAACGAUGCAUAGCCGACCUGAGAGGGUGAUCGGCCACACUGGAACUGAGACACGGUCCAGACUCCUACGGGAGGCAGCAGUAGGGAAUCUUCCGCAAUGGGCGAAAGCCUGACGGAGCAAUGCCGCGUGAGUGAUGAAGGUCUUCGGAUCGUAAAACUCUGUUAUUAGGGAAGAACAUAUGUGUAAGUAACUGUGCACAUCUUGACGGUACCUAAUCAGAAAGCCACGGCUAACUACGUG
rnacentral:rRNA from 1 species